rnacentral:tRNA from 1 species
AGCCCUGAAGUGUUUCACAUGUUAGAUUGCAAAUCUGAAGUAGCAGACUAACAGUCUACCGGGGUUU